rnacentral:rRNA from 1 species
GAUGAACGCUGGCGGCGUGCCUAAUACAUGCAAGUCGAGCGAACGGACGAGAAGCUUGCUUCUCUGAUGUUAGCGGCGGACGGGUGAGUAACACGUGGAUAACCUACCUAUAAGACUGGGAUAACUUCGGGAAACCGGAGCUAAUGCCGGAUAAUAUUUUGAACCGCAUGGUUCAAAAGUGAAAGACGGUCUUGCUGUCACUUAUAGAUGGAUCCGCGCUGCAUUAGCUAGUUGGUAAGGUAACGGCUUACCAGGGCAACGAUGCAUAGCCGACCUGAGAGGGUGAUCGGCCACACUGGAACUGAGACACGGUCCAGACUCCUACGGGAGGCAGCAGUAGGGAAUCUUCCGCAAUGGGCGAAAGCCUGACGGAGCAACGCCGCGUGAGUGAUGAAGGUCUUCGGAUCGUAAAACUCUGUUAUUAGGGAAGAACAUAUGUGUAAGUAACUGUGCACAUCUUGACGGUACCUAAUCAGAAAGCCACGGCUAACUACGUG